rnacentral:rRNA from 1 species
GACGAACGCUGGCGGCGUGCUUAACACAUGCAAGUCGAACGGAAAGGCCUCCACCUUGGUGGGGGUGCUCGAGUGGCGAACGGGUGAGUAACACGUGGGUGAUCUGCCCUGUACUUCGGGAUAAGCUUGGGAAACUGGGACUAAUACCGGAUAGGACCAUGGUUUAGUGUCUCAUGGUGGAAAGAUUUUUUGGUGCAGGAUGAGCUCGCGGCCUAUCAGCUUGUUGGUGGGGUAAUGGCCUACCAAGGCGUCGACGGGUAGCCGGCCUGAGAGGGUGGACGGCCACAUUGGGACUGAGAUACGGCCCAGACUCCUACGGGAGGCAGCAGUGGGGAAUAUUGCACAAUGGGCGCAAGCCUGAUGCAGCGACGCCGCGUGGGGGAUGACGGCCUUCGGGUUGUAAACUCCUUUCGUUAGGGACGAAGCCGCACCUUUUUUGGGUGUGGUGACGAUACCUUUGUUAAGAAGCACCGGCUAACUACGUGCCAGCAGCCGCGGUAAUACGUAGGGUGCGAGCGUUGUCCGGAAUUACUGGGCGUAAAGAGCUCGUAGGUGGUUUGUUGCGUCGUCUGUGAAAUUCCGGGGCUUAACUUCGGGGUGGCAGGCGAUACGGGCAUAACUAGAGUGCUGUAGGGGAGACUGGAAUUCCUGGUGUAGCGGUGGAAUGCGCAGAUAUCAGGAGGAACACCGAUGGCGAAGGCAGGUCUCUGGGCAGUAACUGACGCUGAGGAGCGAAAGCAUGGGGAGCGAACAGGAUUAGAUACCCUGGUAGUCCAUGCUGUAAACGGUGGGCGUUAGGUGUGGGGACCGGUUUGGUUUCUGUGCCGUAGCUAACGCAUUAAGCGCCCCGCCUGGGGAGUACGGCCGCAAGGCUAAAACUCAAAGGAAUUGACGGGGGCCCGCACAAGCGGCGGAGCAUGUGGAUUAAUUCGAUGCAACGCGAAGAACCUUACCUGGGUUUGACAUGCACCAGACGGUUGUAGAGAUACGUACCUCCCUUUGUGGUUGGUGUGCAGGUGGUGCAUGGUUGUCGUCAGCUCGUGUCGUGAGAUGUUGGGUUAAGUCCCGCAACGAGCGCAACCCUUGUCUUAUGUUGCCAGCACUUUGGGUGGGGACUCAUGAGAGACUGCCGGGGUUAACUCGGAGGAAGGUGGGGAUGACGUCAAAUCAUCAUGCCCUUUAUGCCCAGGGCUUCACACAUGCUACAAUGGUUAGUACAACGCGCUGCGAGCCUGUGAGGGUGAGCGAAUCGCUGAAAGCUAAUCUCAGUUCGGAUUGGGGUCUGCAACUCGACCCCAUGAAGUCGGAGUCGCUAGUAAUCGCAGAUCAGCAAUGCUGCGGUGAAUACGUUCCCGGGCCU